UACGGAGGGGGCUAGCGUUGCUCGGAAUCACUGGGCGUAAAGCGCACGUAGGCGGCUUUCUAAGUCAGGGGUGAAAUCCUGGAGCUCAACUCCAGAACUGCCUUUGAUACUGGGAAGCUCGAGUCCGGAAGAGGUGAGUGGAACUCCGAGUGUAGAGGUGAAAUUCGUAGAUAUUCGGAAGAACACCAGUGGCGAAGGCGGCUCACUGGCCCGGUACUGACGCUGAGGUGCGAAAGCGUGGGGAGCAAACAGG
rnacentral:rRNA from 1 species